rnacentral:tRNA from 2 species
GCCCCCGUAGCUCAGGGGAUAGAGCGUCGGUUUCCUAAACCGUGCGUCGCAGGUUCGAGUCCUGCCGGGGGCG